rnacentral:rRNA from 1 species
UCGAACGGUGAAGCAGAGCUUGCUCUGUGGAUCAGUGGCGAACGGGUGAGUAACACGUGAGCAACCUGCCCCUGACUCUGGGAUAAGCGCUGGAAACGGCGUCUAAUACUGGAUAUGAGCUGCGACCGCAUGGUCAGCAGUUGGAAAGAUUUUUCGGUCUGGGAUGGGCUCACGGCCUAUCAGCUUGUUGGUGAGGUAAUGGCUCACCAAGGCGUCGACGGGUAGCCGGCCUGAGAGGGUGACCGGCCACACUGGGACUGAGACACGGCCCAGACUCCUACGGGAGGCAGCAGUGGGGAAUAUUGCACAAUGGGCGAAAGCCUGAUGCAGCAACGCCGCGUGAGGGAUGACGGCCUUCGGGUUGUAAACCUCUUUUAGCAGGGAAGAAGCGAAAGUGACGGUACCUGCAGAAAAAGCGCCGGCUAACUACGUGCCAGCAGCCGCGGUAAUACGUAGGGCGCAAGCGUUAUCCGGAAUUAUUGGGCGUAAAGAGCUCGUAGGCGGUUUGUCGCGUCUGCUGUGAAAUCCCGAGGCUCAACCUCGGGUCUGCAGUGGGUACGGGCAGACUAGAGUGCGGUAGGGGAGAUUGGAAUUCCUGGUGUAGCGGUGGAAUGCGCAGAUAUCAGGAGGAACACCGAUGGCGAAGGCAGAUCUCUGGGCCGUUACUGACGCUGAGGAGCGAAAGGGUGGGGAGCAAACAGGCUUAGAUACCCUGGUAGUCCACCCCGUAAACGUUGGGAACUAGUUGUGGGGUCCAUUCCACGGAUUCCGUGACGCAGCUAACGCAUUAAGUUCCCCGCCUGGGGAGUACGGCCGCAAGGCUAAAACUCAAAGGAAUUGACGGGGACCCGCACAAGCGGCGGAGCAUGCGGAUUAAUUCGAUGCAACGCGAAGAACCUUACCAAGGCUUGACAUAUACGAGAACGGGCCAGAAAUGGUCAACUCUUUGGACACUCGUAAACAGGUGGUGCAUGGUUGUCGUCAGCUCGUGUCGUGAGAUGUUGGGUUAAGUCCCGCAACGAGCGCAACCCUCGUUCUAUGUUGCCAGCACGUAAUGGUGGGAACUCAUGGGAUACUGCCGGGGUCAACUCGGAGGAAGGUGGGGAUGACGUCAAAUCAUCAUGCCCCUUAUGUCUUGGGCUUCACGCAUGCUACAAUGGCCGGUACAAAGGGCUGCAAUACCGUGAGGUGGAGCGAAUCCCAAAAAGCCGGUCCCAGUUCGGAUUGAGGUCUGCAACUCGACCUCAUGAAGUCGGAGUCGCUAGUAAUCGCAGAUCAGCAACGCUGCGGUGAAUACGUUCCCGGGUCUUGUACACACCGCCCGUCAAGUCAUGAAAGUCGGUAACACCUGAAGCCGGUGGCCCAACCCU